rnacentral:rRNA from 1 species
UAUGAACGUUGGCGGCGUGGAUUAGGCAUGCAAGUCGAACGAGAUCUGUAGCAAUACAGUGAAAGUGGCGAAAGGGAGAGUAAUACGUAGGUACCUGCCCUCGGGUCUGGGAUAGCUGCGGGAAACUGCAAUUAAUACCGGAUGAUGUCUCUGGACCAAAGGUGUGAUUCCGCCUGAGGAGCGGCCUAUGUCCUAUUAGCUAGUUGGUAAGGUAACGGCUUACCAAGGCAAAGAUGGGUAUGGGGUGUGAGAGCAUGCCCCCACUCACUGGGACUGAGACACUGCCCAGACACCUACGGGUGGCUGCAGUCGAGAAUCUUCGGCAAUGGACGCAAGUCUGACCGAGCGACGCCGCGUGCGGGAUGAAGGCCUUCGGGUUGUAAACCGCUGUCGUAGGGGAGGAAAUGCAGGUGGGUACUCCCAUCUGCUUGACUGAUCCUAGGAGGAAGGACCGGCUAAUCUCGUGCCAGCCGCCGCCGUAA